UACGAAGGGUGCAAGCGUUACUCGGAAUUACUGGGCGUAAAGCGUGCGCAGGCGGUUCGUUGUGUCGGCGGUGAAAUCCCCGGGCUCAACCUGGGAAUGGCCGUUGAAACUGGCGAACUGGAGUGUGGCAGAGGGGGGUGGAAUUCCGCGUGUAGCAGUGAAAUGCGUAGAGAUGCGGAGGAACACCGAUGGCGAAGGCAGCCCCCUGGGCUGACACUGACGCUCAGGCACGAAAGCGUGGGGAGCAAACAGG
rnacentral:rRNA from 1 species